rnacentral:rRNA from 1 species
UACGUAGGGUGCGAGCGUUGUCCGGAAUUAUUGGGCGUAAAGGGCUCGUAGGCGGUUUGUCGCGUCGGCCGUGAAAUCUCCACGCUUAACGUGGAGCGUGCGGUCGAUACGGGCAGACUUGAGUUCGGCAGGGGAGACUGGAAUUCCUGGUGUAGCGGUGGAAUGCGCAGAUAUCGGGAGGAACACCGGUGGCGAAGGCGGCGAUCUGGGUCGAUACUGACGCUGAGGUGCGAAAGCGUGGGGAGCAAACAGA